GCGCCCAUAGCUCAGCGGAUAGAGCGUCUGAAUACGAAUCAGAAGGCCCGGGGUUCGAGUCCCUGUGGGCGCA
rnacentral:tRNA from 1 species